AUCAUGCUAAAAACCUUUAAAGUAUACAUUAUCCUUUGUACUGUAAUAUUUUUUCAAAAAACUCUAAUAAAAGAACAAAUGAAGAUCAAAAUACAACAUCCGCUCUAAAAUUAAUGGAAUAUAUUGAUGAUCAAACACUUACUCACGUAUAACUUUGUGCAGGCUCUAAUAUAAUUGGCAUGGAACAAUGUACAUUAGACACUAGAUAGUGUUAUACUCAAAAAGACUAUCAAUAUUAAGAGUAGUUGAGAAAUACUUUUGAAUGCAUACACAGAAACGGUCACUGUAAAUGGAAGGCCUUAAGACGUAUUGUAAAUUAUAGUGGUUUUAAAAAAAAUUAUUACCUAACUAAUUACUUGAAGGUUUUGGCAAUAUAUUUUCAAUCGAUCAAAGAAAUGUAAGGACAUAUGUUAUUGAAACUGCCAACUUGGUAGCCAAUGAUUUGAAAAAUUGUAUUCUUAGUUUGAAAAUUGACAGUGCCACAAGUUUGGAUAAAUCAAUACUGGGGAUUUAUGUACAAUUUAUUUCUGACAACGGUACCCACGUUGUAAAAACAUUAGUAAUGAAUGAACUUACAGAAACCCAUACAGUAAAAUAUCUAAAAAAAAAAAGGUCAUUGAAUAUUACUAAACAAGUAUGAUAUUAAAUAACUACGAAUACUGAUAAUAACUACCGAUAAUGCAUGUAAUAUGGCUAAAAUGGUAGAAUGUAUAAGUAAUAUUGAAAGAAGUAAGAUUAUUUUCAUAAAAUAUCUUGAAAUAAAACCAAUUGUACAAAAAGCAGGUAAGUGGAUGUCGCUCUGCUGUAC